rnacentral:rRNA from 1 species
CCUACGGGUGGCAGCAGUGAGGAAUAUUGGUCAAUGGACGAGAGUCUGAACCAGCCAAGUAGCGUGAAGGAUGACUGCCCUAUGGGUUGUAAACUUCUUUUAUAUGGGAAUAAAACGUUCCACGUGUGGGAUUUUGUAUGUACCAUAUGAAUAAGGAUCGGCUAACUCCGUGCCAGCAGCCGCGGUACUACGGAGGAUCCGAGCGUUAUCCGGAUUUAUUGGGUUUAAAGGGAGCGUAGGUGGAUUGUUAAGUCAGUUGUGAAAGUUUGCGGCUCAACCGUAAAAUUGCAGUUGAAACUGGCAGUCUUGAGUACAGUAGAGGUGGGCGGAAUUCGUGGUGUAGCGGUGAAAUGCUUAGAUAUCACGAAGAACUCCGAUUGCGAAGGCAGUUCACUGGACUGCAACUGACACUGAGGCUCGAAAGUGUGGGUAUCAAACAGGAUUAGAUACCCCUGUAGUC